AUAGGGCAACUCUUAGUAAAUAUAAAGGUGUGGAGAUAAUACCAUGCAACUUAUCUGAUCAUAAUGGAAUGAAACUGGAAAUCAAUGAUAAAAGAAGGAAGGAAAAAUCCUGCAUCACCUGGAAAAUGAACAAUAUGUUACUGAAUGAUCAAUGGGUUACAGAAGACAUAAAGGAGGAAAUCAAAAAAUUCUUGGAGAUAAAUGAAAAUACAGACACAACAUAUCGGAAUCUAUGGGACGCAAUGAAAGCAGUUUUAAGAGGGAAAUUCAUUUCCUGGAGUUCAUUCCUUAAAAAAAGGAAAAACCAACAAAUAAAUGAACUCACACUUCAUCUCAAAACCCUAGAAAAGGAAGAGCAAAACAACAGCAAAUGUAGUAGUAGAAGGCAAGAAAUAAUUAAAAUCAGAGCGGAAAUCAACGAAAUUGAAACAAAAAAAAACAUUGAAAAAAUUGAUAAAACAAAAAGUUGGUUCUUUGAAAAAAUAAAUAAGAUCGACAGACCAUUAGCCAUGCUAACGAAGAGAAG
rnacentral:lncRNA from 1 species